rnacentral:rRNA from 1 species
AUUGAACGCUGGCGGCAGGCCUAACACAUGCAAGUCGAACGGUAACAGGAAGAAGCUUGCUUCUUUGCUGUCGAGUGGCGGACGGGUGUGUAAUGUCUGGGACACUGCCUGAUGGAGGGGGAUACCUACUGGAAACGGUAGCUAAUACCGCAUAACGUCGCAAGCCCAUAGAGGGGGACCUUCGGGCCUCUUGCCAUCGGAUGUGCCCAGGCGGCAUUAGCUAGUAGGUGGGGUAACGGCUCACCUAGGCGACGAUCCCUAGCUGGUCUGAGAGAGUGACCGGCCACAAGGGAACUGAGAGCCGGUCCAGACUCCUACGGGAGGCAGCAGUCGGGAAUCUUCAGCAAUGGGCGAAAGCCUGACGGAGCAACGCCGCGUGAGUGAUGAAGGUCUUCGGAUCGUAAAACUCUGUUAUUAGGGAAGAAGAUAUGUGUAAGUAACUGUGCACAUCUUGACGGUACCUAAUCAGAAAGCAACGGCUAACUACGUG